UUUUAUUACUGAUGUAAGAAUUAAGAUUAGUGACAAUAGCUCUUUAUUGAGUGUUAACUAUAUGACACUGGAUCCUCAACCGACUGAACAGGGCCAGGAAUCCAACCCUCAUCUUCGUGGAUACUAGUCGGAUUCCGUCUGUAUCUCUGAGCCACAACAGGAGCAUUUUCCCAGUGAUGGAUUUUAACAGGGUUUUCUGGAGUGCACGCCUUCACCCACUGGGAAGCUGGGCCAGGUGGAAGAUCUGAAUGCUCAAAACACCACCAAGUUCAGAAGCAAUUACCUGUAUUGGUUUCCUAGAGCUGCUGUUACAAAUUAGCAUCAACUCUGUUAAAACAACACCGAUUUUUUUUUUUUAAUCACCUAGUUCUAGAUAGAAAUCUGAAACUGGUUUUCCUCGGUGAAAACCAAGGUGCUGGCAGGGCUGCAUUCCUUCCGAUGUCUUCUUUUCAGUACCCCACCCCCCCACCCCACCUCCCUCCUCUCUCUGCCUUCUUGGUCAGGCCUGGCCAUCUGGCUUUGAGCUGGAAGCUGCCUUCUGAAGAAUACACCCUUUCCCUGGCUAAGCAUUUCUCAACCUCUCCUUCCCCAGAGUUCUGUGUCCUCAGAUGCUCCCCAGUUUUCUCAGGCUCACUUCCCAACUUGAACUUUUCUUUGUCCUUUAAGCAUCCCCAAGCUGGGCGGUGCUGGGAGUAUUGGUGGCAUUCAUUAUGAAUAUUGGUGUCUGCAAGGCGGAGCCGCCACUUCCCAUCUCUGGACCAGGCCGGCCCAUGCAGAAGCACCUCCCACACUUUGUCCCAUUUGGUGCUUCCUUCCAGGCCUAGAUGUUUUCCUGACCACACUGGCAAGGAGAUGGAGGCUUGGAGAAGUUAAGGGACCUGUCCAGGUUCACAUGAGGUCAGGGGCUGAGCUGUAAUCCACACCCUGGAGACCAGAAACCCAGGGUCAUAGCCAUGUUCUUACCUAGAUGGAUUGCUUUUUUAAAAAAACAAAGUAGGAAGUAAUGGUGAUGAGAGGAGGCAUGGUUAAGGUCAUUUGUUUACUUAGUAACCUCUGGCUACCUGCUGGUGUGGAGGAGAGAAGUCAAACGUAAAUACCACAUGGUCCUGGCACUGAGGUCCUUGCAAGACAGAGGUAUUGACAGACACAUACGAAAGUCACUGCAAUGUGGAGGGGAGGGAUCCUGAUGGUUUGGGGAGUAAGGAGGAAGGCUUCUUUAAAGAGGUAUCUGAAUUGGGUUUUGAAGGAUGAAUAGGAGUUUGUUAUUGUGGGAAGAGUGCAAGGAUAGUAUCUAGCAAGAGGUAUUCUAAAGAACCAUUCGUUCGACCAGCAGUUGGGGAAUGCCUAAAAGGCAGGGACCUUGGCUUUUCUCGAUCUCCAGUGCCUUGAGCAAUGCCUGACACAGGCUUGAUAAACGCUACCUUGAGUGAAUAGUCAAGUGGACAUAUUGGGGAACAGAGUGGGGGAAAUUGCAGAAGAAGCAGGUGAAGCUGGCGUGUGAAAGACCUCUUGAGCCACAGCAGGGAUUGGCUCUUAAAGGCGAUCAGGAGCUGCUGGUGGUUAUUGCCCAGGGGAGAUGGGUAAUAAGAUCUGUCCCAUUUUUUUAUGUAAGUAUUUAAGUCUGUGGCUUUUCCUUUAAGGAGGAGGAAAAUGGGAAGACCUUUGGUGUCUUUGAUCAUAAAGAGAAAAAGAAGUUAAGCUGCAGUGAGGUAUUUUCCACUGUGAGAUUGGCAGCGAUCAAAAGCUUGUAGCUUGGGAAGUCAUUACCGUGUACCUUGUUAGAUGGAGUAUAAAGUGAUGCUACCCAUUUGGAGGCAGUGUCUGUUUAAAUUUUAAAUGCGUACUCCCUCUGAUCUAGUGUUUGCUUUGGGUGAAAUGAGGCACUUACUAGGUUAUUUAUUCACCGCUGCAUUGUUUGUAAAAGCAACCCACUGUCCAGUCAGCAGGAGACUGGUUACAUAAAGUUAAGUCCAUCCAUACAAAGAAUAAGGAUGUGUGCCGUGCAGGAUGGUCCUUGAGACCUCUGAUUAAGAGAUGGAAGGAAGAUACAGAACAGGAUGUGGAGUGUGUUUCUUUCUACUUGCUAACAGAAAGUAUGCAUUUAUUUGUAUUGUAUAUGCAUAAAGAAUUUUUUGGAAGGACACAGAAGAAACUGACACUGUCGCCUCUAGUGAGAGGAACUAGGGGGUUAGGGGACCAGGUUUGGAAGGUGGCUUGUCACUUCCAUCCUUUAUUCAAAAGAAAUAAAAUUAAGCUAUCAAAAAUGAAGGAGAUCGGAGUUGCUGUCGUGGCUCGGCAGAAACGACUGUGACGAGCAUCCAUGAGGAUGCAGAUUCCGUCCCUGGCCUUGCUCAGUGGGUUGGGGAUCUGGUGUUGCUGUGAGCUGUGGUGUAGGUCGCAGAUGCGGCUCGGUUCCCAUGUGGCUGUGGCUGUGGUGUAGGCUGAUGGCUGCAGCUCUGAUUCAACCCCUAAUCUGGGAAAUUCCAUGUGUCACAGGUGCAGCCCUAAAAAGACCAAAAAAAAAAAAAAAAAAAGACCUAUGGCACUGGUAGAGAUUGGUUUCUAAUAUUAGUUAAGUGAAAAAAGCACGGUGUGGAACCAGUAUUGUAUUAUGGUACCUUUGGCAGAAACAAAGUAAGCUGUAUUUGGAAGAGUAACAAGAUGUUAGCAAUGAUAAUUUGGCCUGUGGGGUAAGAGGGGGGUGCCGCUGGUUCAGGAAGGAGAACUUACUUUUCACAGUAUGCCAUUUUGUGUAGUUUGGGAAGGCUUCAGCACGUAAAUAAAUUAUCUAGUGAAAGUGAAUUAAUACAAAAAGAGAGAGAGACAUGGAUGGAUGCCUAGGUGGAUGGGUGGGUGGGUAGAUGGGUGGGUGGCUGGCUGCUUGGAUGUGUGGGUUGUGGGAGUGGGUGGAUGGAGAGAUGGGUAGAUGGAUGGAUGGAUGCACUGGUGCAUGGAUGGGUGGGUAGGUGGAUGGAUGGAGAUGUAUGGAUAGAUGAGCUGCCCUGAGGAGGACUAAGUGGGACCAGGACCGGAAGCAGGAAAUGGGUAGGACGCUACUGCAAACCCAGGCAGGGGGUCAUUGGGGCAAGGAUCAGGUUAUUGAAGUCUCACAUACAAACUGAGCUUCUUAUAUACGUAACUGUAUAUAUUAAGUCCUAGCAUUGUUUUCUUACUAGAAAGGCAGAUUCCUUUGGAAUGAGCUUUUUCUGGCAAUUGCUCAGAAACUGUUUUGUAUGUAAUAGCCACCAGCAGUUUAAUCCCCUUUCCACCAGCAGCUUAAGAAUUAUAAGAGGUAUGAAUUCAUCAAAUUAGUCUUUGACAUAAACCACAGCUCUUGAUGACCAGAUUCUUAUUUCCAAGGCUGUCUUCUCAAUGCCCAUGUCCACAGAGGCGUGACCUUUAUCCUUUUUCAGGUUUAGAAGUUUCCUAGCUAAAUCCUUUGUGGGUUAAGGAUCCGGCAUUGCCUUGAGCUGUGUUGUAGGUCACAGAUGUGGCUCCGAUCCCAUGUUGCUGUGGCUGUGGUGUAGGCCGGCAGCUACAUCUCCGAUUUGACCCCUAGCCUGGGAACCUCCAUAUGCCAUGGCUGCAGCCCUAAAAA
rnacentral:lncRNA from 1 species